GGCCGAAAUCCCGAAGUAGGCC
rnacentral:misc_RNA from 1 species